rnacentral:rRNA from 1 species
CAGUCGCCGCGGUAAUACGUAGGGGGCAAGCGUUAUCCGGAAUUACUGGGCGUAAAGGGAGCGUAGACGGUUAAACAAGUCUGAAGUGAAAUGCCGGGGCUCAACCCCGGAGCUGCUUUGGGAACUGUAGAACUGGAGUGUCGGAGGGGUAAGCGGAAUUCCCAGUGUAGCGGUGAAAUGCGUAGAUAUUGGGAGGAACACCGGCGGCGAAGGCGGCUUACUGGACGACAACUGACGUUGAGGCUCGAAGGCGUGGGUAGCAAACAGGAUUAGAUACCCCCGUAGUCCCUGUCUCUUAUAC